rnacentral:rRNA from 1 species
GAGGAAGUAAAAGUCGUAACAAGGUUUCCGUAGGUGAACCUGCGGAAGGAUCAUUAUUGAAAUAAACCUGAUGGGUUGUUGCUGGCUCUCUAGGGAGCAUGUGCACGCCUUGUCAUCUUUAUAUCUCCACCUGUGCACCUUUUGUAGGCCUUCCAGGUCUAUGUUGCUUUUUCAUUUACCCCAAUGUAUGUUAAUAGAAUGUUGUGACUAUAAAAUCUAUACAACUUUCAGCAACGGAUCUCUUGGCUCUCGCAUCGAUGAAGAACGCAGCGAAAUGCGAUAAGUAAUGUGAAUUGCAGAAUUCAGUGAAUCAUCGAAUCUUUGAACGCACCUUGCGCUCCUUGGUAUUCCGAGGAGCAUGCCUGUUUGAGUGUCAUUAAUAUAUAUCAACCUUCUCAUUUCUGAGUGGUUUGGAUGUGGGGGUUUGCUGGCCUCUUAAAAUGAGUUCAGCUCCCCUGAAAUGCAUUAGCAGAACAACCCUGUUCAUUGGCGUGAUAACUAUCUACGCUAUUGAAUGUGAGGGAUGGUUCAGCUUUCUAACAGUCCUUGGACAAUAUUAUCAUUUAUGUGACCUCAAAUCAGGUAGGACUACCCGCUGAACUUAAGCAUAUCAAUA